AGAGCGCACGGAGGAUGCCUUGGCACUAGGAGCCGAAGAAGGACGUGACAAACGACGAAACGCUACGGGGAGCUGUAAGUAAGCAAAGAUCCGUAGAUAUCCGAAUGGGGGAACCCACCGCUUUUAAAAGGGCGGUACGCGAAAGCGAGGUAACGCAGGGAACUGAAACAUCUAAGUACCUGUAGGAAGAGAAAGAAAAAUCGAUUUCCUAAGUAGCGGCGAGCGAAAGGGAAAGAGCCCAAACCAAUGUGCUUGCAUAUUGGGGUUGUAGGACUCUCAAUAAAACGUAUGACAAAGUAUAGUAGAACGAGCUGGAAAGUUAGACCGUAGAAGGUAAAAGUCCUGUAUACGAAAUGCUGAGUUGGCGUGAGAGAGCACCUGAGUACGGCGGAACACGAGGAAUUCCGUCGGAAUCUACCAGGACCAUCUGGUAAGGCUAAAUACUACCUAGUGACCGAUAGUGAACCAGUACCGUGAGGGAAAGGUGAAAAGAACCCCGGGAGGGGAGUGAAAGAGAACCUGAAACCGUGUGCUUACAAGUAGUCAGAGCCCUUUAGGGGGUGAUGGCGUGCCUUUUGUAGAAUGAACCGGCGAGUUACUUUAUCAUGCGAGGUUAAGUGGAAGACAUGGAGCCGAAGCGAAAGCGAGUCUUAAUAGGGCGAAAUAGUAUGAUGGAGUAGACCCGAAACCAAGUGAUCUACCCAUGGCCAGGUUGAAGUUUAGGUAACACUGAAUGGAGGACCGAACCAGGACACGUUGAAAAGUGUUUGGAUGAGCUGUGGGUAGCGGAGAAAUUCCAAUCGAACUUGGAAAUAGCUGGUUCUCUCCGAAAUAGCUUUAGGGCUAGCCUCGUUGUGAGUUUACUGGAGGUAGAGCACUGUUUGGACUAGGGGCCCAUCCCGGGUUACCGAAUUCAGACAAACUCCGAAUGCCAGAUAAAUAUCAACGGGAGUCAGACUGCGGGUGAUAAGGUUCGUAGUCGAAAGGGAAACAGCCCAGACCGCCAGCUAAGGUCCCAAAUUGUAUGUUAAGUGGAAAAGGAUGUGAUGAUGCACAGACAACCAGGAUGUUGGCUUAGAAGCAGCCACCAUUUAAAGAGUGCGUAAUAGCUCACUGGUCGAGUGACAUCGCGCCGAAAAUGUACCGGGGCUAAACAUACAACCGAAGCUGCGGAUAUAACUAAUGUUAUAUGGUAGGAGAGCGUUCUAACAUCAUAGAAGCCGAACUGGAAGGUGAGGUGGAGAGGUUAGAAGUGAGAAUGCCGGUGUGAGUAGCGAAAGAUAGGUGAGAAUCCUAUCCACCGAAAGACUAAGGUUUCCAGAGGAAGGCUCGUCCGCUCUGGGUAAGUCGGGACCUAAGGUGAAGCCGAUAGGUGAAGCCGAUGGACAACAGGUAGAAAUUCCUGUACCACCGAAUAUCGAUUGAGAGAAGUGGGGACAGAGGAGGCUAAUUGAUCGCCCUGAUGGAAUAGGGCGUCUAAGCACAAAGACUGACAAGUAGGCAAAUCCGCUUGUUGUAAAGGUUGAAGUGUGAUGGGGAGCGAAAUAUAGUAGCGAAGUCAAUGAAGCCAAACUCUCAAGAAAAGCCGCUAUCGAGAUAAGAGGUGCCCGUACCGCAAACCGACACAGGUAGUUGGGAAGAGAAUUCUAAGGUGAGCGAGAGAACCAUCGUUAAGGAACUCGGCAAAAUGACCCCGUAACUUCGGGAGAAGGGGUGCCUACGAGAGUAGGCCGCAGUGAAUAGGCCCAAGCGACUGUUUAUCAAAAACACAGGUCUCUGCAAAACCGAAAGGUGAAGUAUAGGGGCUGACGCCUGCCCGGUGCUGGAAGGUUAAGAGGAGUGCUUAGCGCAAGCGAAGGUAUGAAUUGAAGCCCCAGUAAACGGCGGCCGUAACUAUAACGGUCCUAAGGUAGCGAAAUUCCUUGUCGGGUAAGUUCCGACCCGCACGAAAGGCGUAACGAUUUGGGCACUGUCUCAACGAUGGACUCGGUGAAAUCAUAGUACCUGUGAAGAUGCAGGUUACCCGCGACAGGACGGAAAGACCCCAUGGAGCUUUACUGUAGCUUGAUAUUGAAUUUUGAUGCAGUAUGUACAGGAUAGGUAGGAGCCUAGGAAUCAUGCACGCCAGUGUAUGAGGAGGCGUUGUUGGGAUACUACCCUUGCUGUAUUGAAAUUCUAACCCUCGGCAUAGAAAACCGGGAGACAGUGUCAGGUGGGCAGUUUGACUGGGGCGGUCGCCUCCUAAAGAGUAACGGAGGCGUUCA
rnacentral:rRNA from 1 species